UACGGAGGAUCCAAGCGUUAUCCGGAAUCAUUGGGUUUAAAGGGUCCGUAGGCGGUUUAUUAAGUCAGUGGUGAAAGCCCAUCGCUCAACGAUGGAACGGCCAUUGAUACUGAUAGACUUGAAUUACUGGGAAGUAACUAGAAUAUGUAGUGUAGCGGUGAAAUGCUUAGAUAUUACAUGGAAUACCAAUUGCGAAGGCAGGUUACUACCAGUGGAUUGACGCUGAUGGACGAAAGCGUGGGGAGCGAACAGG
rnacentral:rRNA from 1 species